AGCGUAUUAUGUAGUUUAUUCUACAGAGAAAUGAAACGUCCCCACAAGGCCUCAGCUAGACUUGUCAUGUCCCCAGUGAACGCUUCUCCCUGAUGGCUCUCUGCAGAGACAGCCAGCUGCCCACAUCACCGGCUUUGGACCACAUCAGUUCCGUCAUUAGAGGAGAAUAAAGUUUUCUCCUUGAAUUCAGAAAGCAGAUUUGUGACUGCAACAUUUACUAUUGGGAAAGGGAGUCUUAAAAGAAGAGUUCUGGUUCUCUUGUGAGGUAAUGAAGAGAAUGUUACCUAACAAUUGACAGAUCCAUCAGCUUUAGAAGCAGAAGACUUCACACUUAAUAGAGGAAAGAGGCCAAAAGCAUUCCUACCUUACAUGAGAAUAGAGCUGAAACAAGACCUUUAAUACAAAGUGGAUUUCAACGUUCUGACGCAGAUUCAACUAUACAAUUGUUGAUCCCUUACUCUUCGGCAUAUUCCAAAAGUUUUAGUGCAUUUUUAAAUUUUAAUAUUUUCACAUAUAUAAAUGCCACAAACCUACAAAUAAGAAAACUCCAAAGAUUCAUUGCUUUCAUUUCAUCUGCACUUGAUUUUUAUCAAAUUAAAUUCUGAAUAAAUAUAUCUUUAAUUUUAAUUAUUUUUCAGACAAUACUUGCCACCUUUAUUCAGGACUAAGGCAAGAAAUUAAAAUUGAAGUCUAUUGAUCAAAAGUCCUAGAAAUAAAUAAGUAUAUGUGAAAUUGAAAUAUAGUUAAACUUUCAAAUGAUGCUUGUUGCAGAAAAGAUUGAUAGAGCGGUUAACAACAGGCCUCAGGUGUGAACAUAUUCACUAGGAAUGUUACAUAAGACGAACGUCUGUGGGGAGGCGGAGUGGAAUUUUGAGGACAAAGAAAAAACAGCGAAGGUUUUUGAUUCUUCGAGAAAAAUGUGAUGAUUAAUUGUUUUGGUUGGUAAGGGCGAGCGUCCAGUCGUUGUGGCCUUAGAUUCUAUCAGUUGCAUUCAACCCGCCUGGCCCCGAACACACAUGGGCCUGGGGGCCGGGUGCCCGGGAGGCCCACCGACUCUGUGCUUACAUAUUGAG
rnacentral:lncRNA from 1 species